UACAGAGGUCCCGAGCGUUGUUCGGAUUCACUGGGCGUAAAGGGUGCGUAGGUGGUGAGGUAAGUCGGAUGUGAAAUCUCCGGGCUUAACCCGGAAACUGCAUUGGAAACUACCUUGCUGGAGGGUUUGAGGGGGGACUGGAAUUCUCGGUGUAGCAGUGAAAUGCGUAGAUAUUGGGAAGAACACCGGUGGCGAAGGCGGCUCUCUGGACCGAUACUGACGCUGAGGCGCGAAAGCGUGGGGAGCAAACAGG
rnacentral:rRNA from 1 species